UACGGAGGGUGCGAGCGUUGUCCGGAAUGAUUGGGCGUAAAGCGUCUGUAGGUGGCUUUUUAAGUCCGCCGUCAAAUCCCAGGGCUCAACCCUGGACAGGCGGUGGAAACUACCAAGCUGGAGUACGGUAGGGGCAGAGGGAAUUUCCGGUGGAGCGGUGAAAUGCGUAGAGAUCCGGAAGAACACCGGUGGCGAAGGCAGGUCUCUGGGCAUUAACUGACGCUGAGGAGCGAAAGCAUGGGGAGCGAACAGG
rnacentral:rRNA from 1 species